rnacentral:tRNA from 1 species
GGGUAUAGCUCAGUGGUACAGCACUUAACUAGCAUGCAUAAGGCCCAGGUUUCAAUCCCCAGUACCACA